CCUGAAUUAAGAACGUGUAUAUAUGACUCCGAGAAUUUUCUAAGUGAUAUUGAAAACCUAUUGUAAAGUAGGAUUUCUUCUUGCAAAAUUAUUUUAAUGAGGUUCCAGUUUAUUUUCUGGCUAUAUUUUACUUAUUUAAUCCUCCAGAGGGGCUUUUCAGAGGCAGCAUCUCAUUUUCGAUGCAACUAUUCUUAACAUUAGGGAAAACUACCUUUCUGAAAUGCAUGAAGGGAAAAAAAAAAAAAAAAAAGAACCAGAGGAAGAUGUACGAGAUAAGAAUAAACUUGAAAAGCUUUGAGGUGGUUUAUGGCUUCUCUUGAAAGAAUAACAGUUCAUGUAUUUUUGUUAUGGUGUGGUUUAAUGAUGCUUGCAGAAAAAAGAUAAGGUAGGAAUGGAAAUAUAAAAUUAAACCAGCAAAGUGAAUGUGAUUAUUUUAGUUACUAGUAUUACCUGGGGAACAGGCUCUCGGGGUUUUUUAUCUAGGCUAAAUAUUUGCUUUUCCAGGAGGAAAGGCCCCGUGCGUCUCGGAGGAGCGGGGGCUGAAGGAGAAUUUCCCCGUGCGUCGCGGCAGCCUCGUCCGGGAGGGAGGCAGCGUCGCUCCUGCUGCUCCUGCUGCUCCAUCCGUCUGCACCCGCCGGUUUUGGAGGCAAAGUGCUGCCCGGCCGCCCGGCUCCCGGGUGCUUUUCUGCUGCCGUCGAGGACCUCGGGGCUUCCCGWGGCCUGGGACCUCCUGGGCAGAGCCGCCUCGCUCCGGGUUUCUGCACCAUCCGUGCAGGAUUCCGCUGCGUGUUGCAUGAAACGCAGACAUGGCUGAGAUCAUACGUUUUCAUAACGCCCGGAAUACAUCUGUGCUGCCGCAGCCGGCGGGGCCGGUGCCGCGCGGUGCCGGGGCGCGAGAGGGCUCGGCGCCUCUCCGAGUCGGAGCCCGAGGAGCCGACGGGAGGAUUUCGGAGCCGCGGGAGGAGGUAGGUGGGCAGCACCUGUUGAAACCCUCCGGCACGCUU
rnacentral:lncRNA from 1 species